rnacentral:tRNA from 1 species
GCUUAGAUAGCUCAGUAGGUAGAGCAAAGGACUGAAAAUCCUUGGGUCGUCAGUUCAACUCUGACUCUAAGCA